rnacentral:lncRNA from 1 species
CUCCUUUACUUGAAUCCUGACCCAUUGUUAAGAAAGGGAGAAAGUCCAGGGACAGUAGCCCAUAUUUGAAGAAACCUGUGUUGAAGACUAACUCUCCCAAGGGUGAAAUGGGGUUAUCUUUUGUCUGCCAUUCUUUUAACUUUGUUUGUGGGUAUAUUUGAGUAAACAGUUGAGUCAUUUUGUAAGUUGAUGAGGGAAGAGAACCAACUAUCUUCUGCUUCUUCUGGAAUAUUUCCUUCAA